GUGCGAUUAACAGAGAUGACUACAAGUAAUCUAUACCAUUUUUAGUUACCCAUAAGAUACACCAAAAAAUUCCAAUUCCUCACUCAUCCCUCCAUCACCUACAUCCUUUUCACUCUGUCUACCCAUCCCUCCGCUCCAGUGCCUUUGCCUGCAACCAGGUAACUCUGCCCCACGCACUAGUCCAAAUUCUAAAAUUAAGAACCCUAGGUUUAUGGAGGAAGACGAUGUAGUAGUUUUAUAUUUCUCUGCGACCAGGGAUGAAUCUGAAGACGAAGAUGAUGGAUCACCAGUCGUGUGUCAGUAAAAAUUGUAGAAUGUGGAGCUUCAUUCUUUCAACAAUCAAGCUCUUUUCUUUGCUGAACUUGAAUGAACAGAUUUGGUUUCUAAAUUGGUUUGCAGGCACCCUUUUUCGUUCUCACCCGUAUAUGCCGAAAACGCCCUUGCAAGGCUUCCUUUUCACGUGCUGCAUUUCCUUCUAUGUCUCAGUUUUGUGCUUUGCAUAUUGCCUAUGGUCAUACCAUUUGUGACUCUUUGGGUAUGGCGUCUCUCAUAUGUUAGGAGUUAUAAUGAAGCCCAGGGACUGUUGUUGAGUCAUAUUGCCAUCGCUGAAAUUGUUACCAACCUCUUUAAAGGGAUCUUAUUUUCUGCAUAUAUAAUGUAUGAUUUUCUUUGGUCCACAUUCUUAAGGUACUCUUUUAGACAUGUUGCUGGGGUUGGUCAGAUGAUUAGAAGAUUUGUAGGAUAUGUUGUAGCUAGAUGGGAAUUGCAAGUUGCUCGUCUUGAGCAGAUGUUUAAUGGUUUGGAUGAUGGGGGGUGGUGCUUUCGAUGAGCUAGUUGGCAUUUAGGGCCGUGUUAUUCACUUGGUGGAAAAUACUUUCACUGUGAGUAAUUUAUUUUGUUGACCUCUAACUGUGCACGAAAUGAGGGUUGAAGGGACAUUUUGUAUCUUUUUUUAAGCCAUGUAUACAGUAUGCUAAUUUUGUACAUCUUUUUAUGUUCAGUUGUCUAAAUUCGCCUUAGCUUUCGUUUCUGUUCCUUUUAUCUUUCUAGCUAUUAAAAAUUAAGUAAAUUGUUUUCUAUCAUUCUGAAGUACUGUGUUGAUUCUCUCUGUAGUUUCGUUUUUUUUCCUUUCUAUCUGGUGUUUAUACAGUUUUAGAACUAUAAUUUUUUUUCCUUUCUAUCUGGUGUUUAUACAGUUGUAUUUAUUAUCUGGUAAUGACAUUUCCUUUCUUUCACCAUAUGUCUCUGUAUACCAAAUCUAACAGCAUCUAUAAAUCAUCACCAAGCAUUUAUAGACAUGCACCAUGUUAUCCCCCAGUUGAGUUGAAAUGGAUAUUUUUUUAAUGUGAGUUGAAAUGGUGUCGAAAUUGGUGGGCUAGGAAUAGGGUAACGAGUUGAAAUGGAUACUAUUUUAGCGUGAGUUGAAAUGGGUCUCUGUUAGUUAAUGCGUUAAACAUAAUCACAAAGAAUGCCAUACAAUAAUAAUCUAUUGUGACCCUUUAGGUGAUUUUUGAUUUGGACGUGAACCCUUUGACCUGUUCUUUUUUAGUUGACCUUACUGAUUUUACUCUUUUGACCGAAUUAGAGAUAAUGGGCUGAAAUUGCUAUUUCUAGCCAACACUUGCUCUGAAGAACUUCAUUGUUAUAUUGGUUUUCAAAAUUUAUCACCUUUUGUAGUCUAUGGUCCCAUCUUUACUUCUUUUAGGAUCCACAUGUAUAUAUAUAUGCCAAAGUGGAAGCUUAAUAGAUUUUAGUUCAGAUGGCUUAAAGUUAUAAUUGUUCUAGUUUCUUACAUAGUGUGUUCAUAAUGAUAAGCAACAAAUUGGUUGAAUUUGGUAGGAAGUUGCAUUGUUAACUGGUGGUUCACAUGGAUAUGUUGUUGGGCACAUUUGCCUGAAGCACAGGUGAUAUGAUCUUGCAAUCGAAUCAAGUGUAACUUCAGUACCCGGUGAAGAGUUUUUGGGACAACGUUCAAGCGCGAUGAGCGUUCAGCAGAACUAAGAGAAAAGCAAUCUUUAGUAUAAUUUUUUUUUUCUAAUUUUGAGUGAAGUUUGUAGAUAGUUGAGGCUGUUUGUUGCAAGGUGGCUCAUCUCCAAAAAGAACUGUAUACUCGCUUUAUUUUGCGGUCUAAAACCUAAACAUCCGAACAGACAUAGUUUUGGGUUAGAUGUCACCACUUACUUUAUGUUGGACUUUGUUUAUACACACCCAAUUACUAACCUUUGGGUCUUAGGUUUUUUGUUUUCAUUGUAUUUAAAGAAAUAUAUAUAUAAUCAUUUUUGUAUCU